AAGGAUCUUCGGGGUAAGGUGAAAUUCCUAACCGGCGGUGAUGCUCACCUACAGAGCUCAGCCCGCGACUCGCUGCUGCCGAACUGGCAGCAGCGACUGACUUGGUGCAAAUCCAAGGCCGACGGUAAAGUCCGGAUGGAAGAAGAUCAUC
rnacentral:ncRNA from 1 species